CAGUAGCCACGGGAAUACAGAGGGUGCGAGCGUUAAUCGGAUUUACUGGGCGUAAAGCGUGCGUAGGCGGCUUCUUAAGUCGGAUGUGAAAUCCCUGAGCUUAACUUAGGAAUUGCAUUCGAUACUUGGAAGCUAGAGUAUGGGAGAGGAUGGUAGAAUUCCAGGUGUAGCGGUGAAAUGCGUAGAGAUCUGGAGGAAUACCGAUGGCGAAGGCAGCCAUCUGGCCUAAUACUGACGCUGAGGUACGAAAGCAUGGGGAGCAAACAGGAUUAGAUACCCCGGUAGUCCCUGUCUCUUAUAC
rnacentral:rRNA from 1 species